GCUUAACACAUGCAAGUCGAGGGGCAUCAGGAAGAAAGCUUGCUUUCUUUGCUGGCGACCGGCGCACGGGUGAGUAACACGUAUCCAACCUGCCCUUUACUCGGGGAUAGCCUUUCGAAAGAAAGAUUAAUACCCGAUAGCAUAAUGAUUCCGCAUGGUUUCAUUAUUAAAGGAUUCCGGUAAAGGAUGGGGAUGCGUUCCAUUAGGUUGUUGGUGAGGUAACGGCCCACCAAGCCUUCGAUGGAUAGGGGUUCUGAGAGGAAGGUCCCCCACAUUGGAACUGAGACACGGUCCAAACUCCUACGGGAGGCAGCAGUGAGGAAUAUUGGUCAAUGGGCGCUAGCCUGAACCAGCCAAGUAGCGUGAAGGAUGAAGGCUCUAUGGGUCGUAAACUUCUUUUAUAUAAGAAUAAAGUGCAGUAUGUAUACUGUUUUGUAUGUAUUAUAUGAAUAAGGAUCGGCUAACUCCGUGCCAGCAGCCGCGGUAAUACGGAGGAUCCGAGCGUUAUCCGGAUUUAUUGGGUUUAAAGGGAGCGUAGGUGGACUGGUAAGUCAGUUGUGAAAGUUUGCGGCUCAACCGUAAAAUUGCAGUUGAUACUGUCAGUCUUGAGUACAGUAGAGGUGGGCGGAAUUCGUGGUGUAGCGGUGAAAUGCUUAGAUAUCACGAAGAACUCCGAUUGCGAAGGCAGCUCACUGGACUGCAACUGACACUGAUGCUCGAAAGUGUGGGUAUCAAACAGGAUUAGAUACCCUGGUAGUCCACACAGUAAACGAUGAAUACUCGCUGUUUGCGAUAUACAGUAAGCGGCCAAGCGAAAGCAUUAAGUAUUCCACCUGGGGAGUACGCCGGCAACGGUGAAACUCAAAGGAAUUGACGGGGGCCCGCACAAGCGGAGGAACAUGUGGUUUAAUUCGAUGAUACGCGAGGAACCUUACCCGGGCUUAAAUUGCAGUGGAAUGAUGUGGAAACAUGUCAGUGAGCAAUCACCGCUGUGAAGGUGCUGCAUGGUUGUCGUCAGCUCGUGCCGUGAGGUGUCGGCUUAAGUGCCAUAACGAGCGCAACCCUUAUCUUUAGUUACUAACAGGUUAUGCUGAGGACUCUAGAGAGACUGCCGUCGUAAGAUGUGAGGAAGGUGGGGAUGACGUCAAAUCAGCACGGCCCUUACGUCCGGGGCUACACACGUGUUACAAUGGGGGGUACAGAAGGCAGCUAGCGGGUGACCGUAUGCUAAUCCCAAAAUCCUCUCUCAGUUCGGAUCGAAGUCUGCAACCCGACUUCGUGAAGCUGGAUUCGCUAGUAAUCGCGCAUCAGCCACGGCGCGGUGAAUACGUUCCCGGGCCUUGUACACACCGCCCGUCAAGCCAUGGGAGCCGGGGGUACCUGAAGUACGUAACCGCAAGGAUCGUCCUAGGGUAAAACUGGUGACUGGGGCUAAGUCAUAACA
rnacentral:rRNA from 1 species